CCAUUGUCACGCGUUACUCACCCGUCCGUGACUACUGGGGUAUCUAAUCCCAUUAUCACGCGUUACUCACCCGUCCGAAGGGCGAAUUCGCGGCCGCUAAAUUCAAUUCGCCCUAUAGUGAGUCGUAUUAAAUGGGGUAAUGGCCUACCAGGGCGUCGACGGGUAGCCGGCCUGAGAGGGCGACCGGCCACACUGGGACUGAGACACGGCCCAGACUCCUACGGGAGGCAGCAGUGGGGAAUAUUGCACAAUGGGCGAAAGCCUGAUGCAGCGACGCCACGUGAGGGAUGACGGCCUUCGGGUUGUAAACCUCUUUCAGCAGGGAAGAAGCGGUUGGGUUUUCUCAGUCGUGACGGUACCUGCAGAAGAAGCGCCGGCUAACUACGUGCCAGCAGCCGCGGUAAUACGUAGGGCGCAAGCGUUGUCCGGAAUUAUUGGGCGUAAAGAGCUCGUAGGCGGUCUGUCGCGUCUGGUGUGAAAUCCCAUGGCUCAACUGUGGGCUUGCAUCGGGUACGGGCAGACUAGAGUGCUGUAGGGGAGACUGGAAUUCCUGGUGUAGCGGUGGAAUGCGCAGAUAUCAGGAGGAACACCGAUGGCGAAGGCAGGUCUCUGGGCAGUUACUGACGCUGAGGAGCGAAAGCAUGGGGAGCGAAAAGGGAU
rnacentral:rRNA from 1 species